UACGUAGGGCGCAAGCGUUGUCCGGAAUUAUUGGGCGUAAAGAGCUCGUAGGCGGUUUGUCGCGUCUGCUGUGAAAACCUAAGGCUCAACCUUGGGCUUGCAGUGGGUACGGGCAGACUAGAGUGCGGUAGGGGUGACUGGAAUUCCUGGUGUAGCGGUGGAAUGCGCAGAUAUCAGGAGGAACACCGAUGGCGAAGGCAGGUCACUGGGACGCAACUGACGCUGAGGAGCGAAAGCAUGGGGAGCGAACAGG
rnacentral:rRNA from 1 species